rnacentral:rRNA from 1 species
UACGGAGGGUGCAAGCGUUAAUCGGAAUUAUUGGGCGUAAAGAGCUCGUAGGCGGUUUGUCGCGUCUGCUGUGAAAUCCCGAGGCUCAACCUCGGGCUUGCAGUGGGUACGGGCAGACUAGAGUGCGGUAGGGGAGAUUGGAAUUCCUGGUGUAGCGGUGGAAUGCGCAGAUAUCAGGAGGAACACCGAUGGCGAAGGCAGAUCUCUGGGCCGUAACUGACGCUGAGGAGCGAAAGCAUGGGGAGCGAAC